rnacentral:rRNA from 1 species
GACGAACGCUGGCGGCGUGCCUAAUACAUGCAAGUAGAACGCUGAAGAGAGGAGCUUGCUCUUCUUGGAUGAGUUGCGAACGGGUGAGUAACGCGUAGGUAACCUGCCUUGUAGCGGGGGAUAACUAUUGGAAACGAUAGCUAAUACCGCAUAACAAUGGAUGACACAUGUCAUUUAUUUGAAAGGGGCAAUUGCUCCACUACGAGAUGGACCUGCGUUGUAUUAGCUAGUAGGUGAGGUAACGGCUCACCUAGGCGACGAUACAUAGCCGACCUGAGAGGGUGAUCGGCCACACUGGGACUGAGACACGGCCCAGACUCCUACGGGAGGCAGCAGUAGGGAAUCUUCGGCAAUGGGGGCAACCCUGACCGAGCAACGCCGCGUGAGUGAAGAAGGUUUUCGGAUCGUAAAGCUCUGUUGUAAGUCAAGAACGAGUGUGAGAGUGGAAAGUUCACACUGUGACGGUAGCUUACCAGAAAGGGACGGCUAACUACGUGCCAGCAGCCGCGGUAAUACGUAGGUCCCGAGCGUUGUCCGGAUUUAUUGGGCGUAAAGCGAGCGCAGGCGGUUUGAUAAGUCUGAAGUUAAAGGCUGUGGCUCAACCAUAGUUCGCUUUGGAAACUGUCAAACUUGAGUGCAGAAGGGGAGAGUGGAAUUCCAUGUGUAGCGGUGAAAUGCGUAGAUAUAUGGAGGAACACCGGUGGCGAAAGCGGCUCUCUGGUCUGUAACUGACGCUGAGGCUCGAAAGCGUGGGGAGCGAACAGGAUUAGAUACCCUGGUAGUCCACGCCGUAAACGAUGAGUGCUAGGUGUUGGAUCCUUUCCGGGAUUCAGUGCCGCAGCUAACGCAUUAAGCACUCCGCCUGGGGAGUACGACCGCAAGGUUGAAACUCAAAGGAAUUGACGGGGGCCCGCACAAGCGGUGGAGCAUGUGGUUUAAUUCGAAGCAACGCGAAGAACCUUACCAGGUCUUGACAUCCCGAUGCUAUUUCUAGAGAUAGAAAGUUACUUCGGUACAUCGGUGACAGGUGGUGCAUGGUUGUCGUCAGCUCGUGUCGUGAGAUGUUGGGUUAAGUCCCGCAACGAGCGCAACCCCUAUUGUUAGUUGCCAUCAUUCAGUUGGGCACUCUAGCGAGACUGCCGGUAAUAAACCGGAGGAAGGUGGGGAUGACGUCAAAUCAUCAUGCCCCUUAUGACCUGGGCUACACACGUGCUACAAUGGUUGGUACAACGAGUUGCGAGUCGGUGACGGCAAGCUAAUCUCUUAAAGCCAAUCUCAGUUCGGAUUGUAGGCUGCAACUCGCCUACAUGAAGUCGGAAUCGCUAGUAAUCGCGGAUCAGCACGCCGCGGUGAAUACGUUCCCGGGCCU